GCGCAGCAGGCGCGAAUCUUCCACAAUGGGGGAAACCCUGAUGGAGCGACGCCGCGUGCGGGAUGAAGGCCCUAUGGGUUGUAAACCGCUGUUCAGUGGAAAGAACAUCCUCCGGCUGAAUAGGUCGGAGGCCUGACGUUACCACUGCAGAAAGUCCCGGCCAACUCCGUGCCAGCAGCCGCGGUAAUACGGGGGGACGAGCGUUGUCCGGAAUCAUUGGGCGUAAAGGGCGCGUAGGCGGCGAGGAAAGUCGAAUGUGAAAUCUUGCGGCUCAACUGCAAAACUGCGUUCGAAACUUCCUCGCUUGAGUAUGAGAGAGGUGUGCGGAAUUCCUGGUGUAGCGGUGGAAUGCGUAGAUAUC
rnacentral:rRNA from 1 species